rnacentral:rRNA from 3 species
GGCGAGGGGAGUGAAAAAGAACCUGAAACCGUGUACGUACAAGCAGUGGGAGCACAGGUUUACCUGUGUGACUGCGUACCUUUUGUAUAAUGGGUCAGCGACUUAUAUUCUGUAGCAAGGUUAACCGUAUAGGGGAGCCGCAGGGAAACCGAGUCUUAACCGGGCGUUAAGUUGCAGGGUAUAGACCCGAAACCCGGUGAUCUAGCCAUGGGCAGGUUGAAGGUUGGGUAACACUAACUGGAGGACCGAACCGACUAAUGUUGAAAAA